GCCCGGGUGGCGGAAUUGGUAGACGCGCUAGAUUCAGAGUCUAGUGUCCGUAUAGGAUGUGUGGGUUCAAAUCCCGUCCCGGGCA
rnacentral:tRNA from 1 species